GCAGAGAAUCCAGUGCAAUGGACCCGUUGAGGCAUGCUCGUCUAUGCAACAUGACAUUCCUGAGGAUAAUAAUUUAUCACGUUUGCAUGAAAAGGUUAUGCCUGUAGUUACUCUUACUCAUGUCACAAAGAUAGAAUAUAAAAUAAUUGCUUGCUUACCAUUGUUGUGUCAUGGAACUAGGUUGGCGACCAUGAUGUCAACCAAUUACAAAUUCAACAAAAUUCAUCAUCAUCACAAGACCUUGUUAUUGAUUCUGUGCUAGAGGUGAUGGAAACGAGGAAUAUUACGGGUGAAUCAAUUUCAAGACCGAACCAGCAAAGGACUAGAAAUGAACACCCACACCGCUCAAAAAGAAGGCGUUCUUCUUCCAUCAAGGUUGCUUCCAAAGUAGUCUUAAAGACUUCAACAUAUCCCAACAAGCGGAAUGUUGCAUAUGGUACUAUUCGGAGUACUGAUCCAAGAACUAAGGCUGGUGGUAUUGAGUUAGGUGCUGAAUUUGCUCUUGUGCGCAUAGACGAACCUAUUCUUGAUAAUGAGGAGUUAGUAAGGGAAGUUUCUGAUUGCAAGACAAUUGGCGAGGCUUUCACUUCAGGAUACUUAAUUGCCUGGCCUUCAUCUUUUAUUCGAGAGAAGGAUGGUUGAUUUGCAGCUGAAUUCUUGGAUCAAGAAGCAAAUAAAAUUUGAAGAUUUUAGCUACCAAUAGUUGUAGUUUAUAUUGAUAGAUUUAAAAGUGUAAUAUCAUCCAGAAGAUCUUUUUCUUUCAUCGAAUUGAUGCAAAUGCGACAGUGUAAUAUUCCCCAUAGUUGUGUUUUCUAUCCUCAA